ACGUAGGGUGCGAGCGUUAAUCGGAAUUACUGGGCGUAAAGCGUGCGCAGGCGGCUCUAUAAGACAGAUGUGAAAUCCCCGGGCUUAACCUGGGAACUGCGUUUGUGACUGUAGGGCUUGAGUGCGGCAGAGGGGGGUGGAAUUCCACGUGUAGCAGUGAAAUGCGUAGAGAUGUGGAGGAACACCGAUGGCGAAGGCAGCCCCCUGGGUCGACACUGACGCUCAUGCACGAAAGCGUGGGGAGCAAACAG
rnacentral:rRNA from 1 species